GACGGCGGAGGCAAGCGUUAUCCGGAAUUAUUGGGCGUAAAGGGUACGAAGGCGGCCGGUCCAGUCUGGGGUCAAAGGCCACAGCUCAACUGUGGGAAGGCCCUGGAAACUGACCGGCUAGAGUGAGGUAGGGGUUGCGGGAAUUCCCGGUGUAGCGGUGAAAUGCGUAGAGAUCGGGAAGAACACCUGAGGCGGAAGCGCGCAACUGGGCCUCAACUGACGCUGAGGUACGAAAGCUAGGGGAGCGAAUGGG
rnacentral:rRNA from 1 species